GACGAACGCUGGCGGCGUGCUUAACACAUGCAAGUCGAACGGAAAGGCCCUGCUUUUGUGGGGUGCUCGAGUGGCGAACGGGUGAGUAACACGUGAGUAACCUGCCCUUGACUUUGGGAUAACUUCAGGAAACUGGGGCUAAUAUCCGAUAGGAGCUCCUGCUGCAUGUUGGGGGUUGGAAAGUUUCGGCGGUUGGGGAUGGACUCGCGGCUUAUCAGCUUGUUGGUGGGGUAGUGGCUUACCAAGGCUUUGACGGGUAGCCGGCCUGAGAGGGUGACAGGCCACAUUGGGACUGAGAGACGGCCCAGACUCCUACGGGAGGCAGCAGUGGGGAAUAUUGCACAAUGGGCGGAAGCCUGAUGCAGCAACGCCGCGUGCGGGAUAACGGCCUUCGGGUUGUAAACCGCUUUCGCAUGUGACGAAGCGUGAGUGACGGUAAUGGGUAAAGAAGCACCGGCUAACUACGUG
rnacentral:rRNA from 1 species